UGCAUACAAGGAUACUUA
rnacentral:rRNA from 1 species